rnacentral:rRNA from 1 species
AGAGUUUGAUCCUGGCUCAGAUUGAACGCUGGCGGCAUGCCUUACACAUGCAAGUCGAACGGCAGCACGGGAGCAAUCCUGGUGGCGAGUGGCGAACGGGUGAGUAAUAUAUCGGAACGUGCCCAGUCGCGGGGGAUAACGCAGCGAAAGCUGUGCUAAUACCGCAUACGAUCUCUGGAUGAAAGCGGGGGACUCGUAAGAGCCUCGCGCGAUUGGAGCGGCCGAUAUCAGAUUAGCUAGUUGGUGGGGUAAAGGCCCACCAAGGCGACGAUCUGUAGCUGGUCUGAGAGGACGACCAGCCACACUGGAACUGAGACACGGUCCAGACUCCUACGGGAGGCAGCAGUGGGGAAUUUUGGACAAUGGGCGCAAGCCUGAUCCAGCAAUGCCGCGUGCAGGAUGAAGGCCUUCGGGUUGUAAACUGCUUUUGUACGGAACGAAAAGGUCUGCCUUAAUACGGUGGGCCCAUGACGGUACCGUAAGAAUAAGCACCGGCUAACUACGUGCCAGCAGCCGCGGUAAUACGUAGGGUGCGAGCGUUAAUCGGAAUUACUGGGCGUAAAGCGUGCGCAGGCGGUUAUAUAAGACAGAUGUGAAAUCCCCGGGCUCAACCUGAGACCUGCAUUUGUGACUGUAUAGCUAGAGUACG